UCCUUCAAGCUAAUCUUCAAUUUCCUCCUAGCUUUCAAAGAAACACCAGUUCUCACAUGGCUUCAGCCCAUUGGAGCAAACAAAGAGGUAUUAGUCUGACCAUUAUAGAACACAGGAUCAUAAAUAUAAGAAAUUAAUAUGGAAAACACAAAGUAACAUCUAUUUAUUUAAUUACCAUGGCUAAAUUCCACAAAUUGGGUAAACACUGCUGGAGUCAAUCUCUGUCCAGCACUUGUAUCACUACUACUUAGCAUGUGGCUGGCAUUAUAUUACUGCCUCUUAAACUAUCAUCACAAAUUCAAUUAUAUGUAGUAGUGGUACAGUCUAGUAGUAAAUGAUCACAGCACAUCCUACCUGGUCUACAUUUUUACAGAACUGGAUCGGUAUCUUUUCAAAAGCGCAUUCAUUUUUACAAUGGAGGGCUCAGGCUGCAACCAGUAAUUCACAGUGCUCUCACCUGAAAACUUUUCUCGAUGAGUCACAUGCCAUUACAAAAGCCCAAACCAAACAUAGCUCACAGUGAAUUCCACUCGGGAACCAGCUUUCUGCUGGGAGGUGUUUGCCAUGUUUAUCAGGGCCCUGUAGGAUUAAGUUCCAAAAGGGAGCUGCAUGCAUGUGGGGACUAUGGCACGUCACAAAAAAAGAGGGUGAGUGGUAGGUUAUCUCUUCAUUACAUGGUGCUUGAUUCUGGAACAAGAGGAAUUAGCCUUAAACAUCAUCCCAGAGACUGAAGCAUAUGGGGUUUAACAGCUACACUAGGAACAACACAUCCAUACUGCACAUAUGGCACAAUGAUGUGAGCAGCACAGAGCUAGGACACCAUCAAGGAAGAUGAAGAGCGGUUUCAUUUAAUCAUGAACACAUAAAGACAUGAACAGCAGGACUGCAAUAUAAAAUGUUUGGGUAAAAACUUCUGUGGGAAGGCUGUAUCUUUGCUAGUCCUCACUACAUUAAACAGAGAAUGAGGAGAAAAAACACUGCUGGGCUUUCUGUGGAUGCUGACCUCUUGCUCUUGAAUGACUGGAGAAAAAACUCCAGUUUUUUCUGAAAGAGAAUGCAAAGCAAGAUCAUCUCUGAACACUGUUACAACUGCUGCUUUACUUAAAUGCUGAAUUCAGGCCUGCAGUUUUGCAAUGUGCAACUUGUUCUCCCACAGUAACAUUUGCAAACAAGAAGGCUUGAUGCCAUUUACUUGAUGGGAGACCAUGUUUGGGAGAAUGAAUGUUUUUGAAUAGGAAAUAGGCAAGAAAAUUCCUCUAGCUUCAGAACAGAGUCAGAAAGAAGUGAUAUAGAUUUUUCUGCAGAAACAGAAGGUGCUUUGCAAAAAACAGAACACCUAAUUUCCAGACCUACUGCUAAUCUAUUGAGCAGGCUUAGGGAAGUCGUGCAGUGUGGAAUUUCAGCUGAUUCUGCUCUCUUGUCCUAUGCAAGAGCAAGAUCUUCAAAUGAAGCCAUUCAAAGCUUAUUUCAAAUGGAAUAAAAAAUGGUCAUUCAUUAUCCA
rnacentral:lncRNA from 1 species